UAAUAGCACCAACCCUCACAUAUGCAAGUGAAACGUGGGCCUGGAAUGAAAGUCAGAGGUCUAGAGUGCAGGCAGUGGAAAUUAGUUAUUUGAGGAGUGCUUGUGGUGUGAGUAGAAUGGAUGGAAUGAGUAAUGAAAGUGUGUACGAGCAUUUUGGAAUGUGUCACGGGGGUGAAGGGAAGAAGCGUGGAGUGGUGGAAGAAGUGAAGCGACAGACUUUAAAGUGGUUUGGCCACAUGGAGUGAAUGGAGGAGAGUAAGAUGACCAGAAGGGUGUAUGUGAGUGAGAUAGAGGGAGGGAAUGCUAGAGGACGACCUCCAGUGAAAUGGAGGGAUAGGGUGCAAGAGUACAUUAGGGAGAGGGGGGAAAGAUCUUUGAGAAACUUUGAGCAGGCAAGGAGGGAGUGUCUGGAUAGAGGAAGAUGGAAGCUCUUCUGCCGUGGCCAUCCCCUGGUGGGAGCUCCUAGGAGCAGGCGUCGAUGAAAUGAUGAUGAUGAUGAUGAUGGGUCUAGAACAAUGUUUUCAAAGUCACAAUCAACAAACUAGCUCUGUCUUGCCCCUAACCUUAAAAAUCAACAAAAAAUGAGAACACGCCAGGUUUGCCAAGACCCCCAAAGCUCCCCCAGUAACAAAUAAGAUCACUAGGUUUUGCCGAAGUCAACACUAAACCUUCUUCCUCCUCUUCCUCCUCCUCUCAGACCAACCGCACGUGCAGGACAUGCCAGGCUCUGAUGUCCAGUGUGGAGGAGAUCGGAAUUCCUAUCAUGAGGGAGACACACAGCCGCACCACACCCUCACCGGACGCCAGCAAGCUAUUGCCAUCCUGUAGUCGCCACACCUCCAGCAGGGAGUUCUCCAGGCACACGCCAGCAUUGCCGCCAAGGACUUCACACUGCACUGCCCGAAACACCCGUCGAGGGUGAUGAGGAUGAGGAGACAGUCAAGAUUGUGCAGUGGGUGAAGAGCAAUGAGCCAAUGGGAGCCACCAUCAAGCAGGACGACCACUCCGGAGCCAUCAUCAUCACCCGCAUCAUGCAUGGCUGACUGCUCCGGCCUCAUCCAUGCUGCCGACGAGGUGCAGGGGUCAACACCUUCAAUGUGGAGGGCAAGACACGGGCGGAUGUCCACAAGAUGCUGGUGCAGGCGGAGGGCACCAUGACCUUCAGGCUGCUCCCGGCCAGCACCUCGGUGCACCUCAGGGAGAGCAAGGUGAGGGUGCACGCCUACUUCCACUAUGACCCCAAGGAGGACAACAAGCACAUUCCCUGCAAGGAAGCCGGGCUGCCCUUCAACAAGCUGAACAUCCUGCACAUUGUGACCCAGGAUGACCCCUACUGGUAAGCCCUGGUGACCUCAUAAUGAAGCUUUGUGGCUCUCAGGUGAUCCAGUGUCCCGCUUGAGCUGCCCCACUCAUGGGGAGCUAUGCGGCUCAGGCCAACUGAGUGCUGGUGUGUGACAUUGCCCCUGCAGCACCCUGCUAGACCAGAGGACUUGACCGCUGCAGUGGUGCAUUCCGUCCACUGGUGAGUCACACAGCUCCCCGUGGGUGUGGGGGUGAAACACACUGACACUGGAUCAGCUGGGCGCACCAAACACAGCGUUCCACACAGCAGCCCCAUCACAGUGUUCCCUCAGCAGCUCUUAUAGGCGACCCUUUACUGAAAACAACAAUCACAGUCAAAGGAAACAUUUGUAGAAGGUGCUGCAAAGGUGUCACUGGCCACUCACAUAACUACAUCGUCUGCCUUAUGUACAAACACUGCCCCCCGUCUGCACAACAACAGGCCAGCCCGAGGCAGGGCUGCUGCAGCUCCAGAGGGGGCUGCCGUGUGUCUCGCUGGGUGUGGUGGUGGGGGUGGCAGUGGUCACGGUGGCAGAGG